rnacentral:lncRNA from 1 species
GAAAACAUCACCGAAAGCUAGGGUUCAAGUGAGCUGAAGCGAAAAGUGAUCCUGACCGAAGAAGAUGGCCUGACCGGAGCUGACCGUUGGAGAUGAUCGAAUGGUCAGAGAGAAAGAUAGAAGAAGAUGAAGUGCCGACCGUUGGAUCAUGAAACGUGAAGCGUCGAAGAGGUCUUCUUUCCUUUUUCUUCUACCUCUUCUCUUCACGAGAGGGUGACAGACUCCGUGAAAGAUUUGUGUGGUGGAGGGUGACAAACUCCACCCGAGAGACUUUGGUUUUCUUAGGGUUUUCACCUGCUUUUCGUAGUAUAGAUUCUGGAUUUGGAUUGAUCACUUGCAGUGGUGACAGCCUGUGGUGAUUUCAAUCGAUUGUUUUUUUUCGUUCCCUUGCUUUUGGAUUAAGCACUUGCGGUGGUGACAGCCCGUUGUGGCUUUGAUCGCGCCUCUAUCGGAACUUGUUCUUGUAAUCUUCCUUUUCUU